rnacentral:snoRNA from 1 species
ACUCCUUAUUAGAAAACAUAAGAGUCCUUGACCCAUUCAGGCGCCUGCUAUGGGAGUGAUGGGCCAGCCCUGGUGUCUGAGUGAUU